rnacentral:rRNA from 1 species
AACGAACGCUGGCGGCGUGCCUAACACAUGCAAGUCGAACGUGAUUGGAAGCUUGCUUCCAUGAAAGUGGCGCACGGGUGAGUAACGCGUAGAUAAUCUACCUGAUGGAUCGGGAUAACACUUCGAAAGGGGUUCUAAUACCGGAUAAGCCCACGGAGUCCUUGGACACUGCGGGAAAAGGAGGGGACCUUCGGGCCUUCCGUCAUCAGAUGAGUCUGCGUACCAUUAGCUAGUUGGUAGGGUAAAGGCCUACCAAGGCGACGAUGGUUAGCUGGUCUGAGAGGAUGAUCAGCCACACUGGAACUGAGACACGGUCCAGACUCCUACGGGAGGCAGCAGUGGGGAAUUUUGCGCAAUGGGGGAAACCCUGACGCAGCAACGCCGCGUGAGUGAUGAAGGCCCUUGGGUCGUAAAGCUCUGACAGAGGGAAAGAAAUGUGGGUGGCUAAUAUCCAUUCCACUUGACGGUACCCUCAAAGGAAGCACCGGCUAACUCUGUGCCAGCAGCCGCGGUAACAC